CUACACAUGCAGUCGAGCGGCAGCGGGAAGAUAGUUUAGCUAUCUUUGCCGGCGAGCGGCGGACGGGUGAGUAAUGCCUAGGGAUCUGCCCAGUCGAGGGGGAUAACAGUUGGAAACGACUGCUAAUACCGCAUACGCCCUACGGGGGAAAGGAGGGGACCUUCGGGCCUUCCGCGAUUGGAUGAACCUAGGUGGGAUUAGCUAGUUGGUGAGGUAAUGGCUCACCAAGGCGACGAUCCCUAGCUGUUCUGAGAGGAUGAUCAGCCACACUGGGACUGAGACACGGCCCAGACUCCUACGGGAGGCAGCAGUGGGGAAUAUUGCACAAUGGGGGAAACCCUGAUGCAGCCAUGCCGCGUGUGUGAAGAAGGCCUUCGGGUUGUAAAGCACUUUCAGUAGGGAGGAAAGGUAGCAGCUUAAUACGCUGUUGCUGUGACGUUACCUACAGAAGAAGGACCGGCUAACUCCGUGCCAGCAGCCGCGGUAAUACGGAGGGUCCGAGCGUUAAUCGGAAUUACUGGGCGUAAAGCGUGCGCAGGCGGUUUGUUAAGCGAGAUGUGAAAGCCCCGGGCUCAACCUGGGAAUUGCAUUUCGAACUGGCGAACUAGAGUCUUGUAGAGGGGGGUAGAAUUCCAGGUGUAGCGGUGAAAUGCGUAGAGAUCUGGAGGAAUACCGGUGGCGAAGGC
rnacentral:rRNA from 1 species